ACUGCAUCCCACAUCUGCAGCUGUGCCUAGGCCCAGUUUCCUAGAAGCCAAGCUGUUCCUUCGUUCCAGACUUUUCCAUUUGCCUUUCUCCCUUGAACACUUUAUCCUCUGCUGGUUACAUUGGCAAGCUCCUUUAAGUCACUGAGACACUUCAGCUGUCCCUUUCUAAGUGGAACUCAGGCAAGCCAGGAGAAAGAGGAGAGAUGCUUUGCCAGUGUCACUCCUGCUGUGGAGGCUCAGAUGGCAGAGGUGGGGACAGAUCAGGGAGCCUCCCACUCAAGACUGCUUUGCAGGCUGCAACACUCCACUUAGUUCAGCUUCUGACUCCACUAUCCUGUAGCUCAUCCCACUGCUGAGAACCCAGCUUCCGUCUCCUGGAAGCACCCUUUGUUUCAUUUGAAGAACCAGCCCUUCUGCCCUUCAGCACAGAGUUCAUGUGCUCUACUCGCUCAGUUCCAAAACAUGGAACGAACUUCUAUCUUGCUGAUCAACACCCAAGAUCCCAUGAACUACCGAGACAGGCACAGAGUGAGCACUGGUCUGAGCCCAUUCACCGAGGCUCAUUUCUGGAACUCUGGUUGGAACUAAACAGUUACUUUCUUCAUGGACACAGUCUGGACAUGAAGCUCUGGCUGAAUGAGCAGACAUGCCUGAGGCUGAGGCAUGGACAGAGAAGCCAAGCGUGAAGGGAGCCCCGAGACUGUGCUGUGUCAUCCAGAAAUGUUUCUGGAGCUACUAGGAAUACCCCUGGAUCCUUCUGUUCUCUCAGCCAGUAUGUCACUGUUUUGAUUAUGAGAAAGCCGAGGCAGCCCUCUACCUCCCCUCUAGCCCUUGGCAGCCGAACCCAAGCUUUCUGGAUCCCAGACUUCCC
rnacentral:lncRNA from 1 species